rnacentral:rRNA from 1 species
AACGAACGCUGGCGGCAUGCCUAACACAUGCAAGUCGAACGAGACCUUCGGGUCUAGUGGCGCACGGGUGCGUAACGCGUGGGAACCUGCCCUUAGGUUCGGAAUAACUCCCCGAAAGGGGUGCUAAUACCGGAUAAUGUCUUCGGACCAAAGAUUUAUCGCCUUUGGAUGGGCCCGCGUUGGAUUAGCUAGUUGGUAGGGUAAAAGCCUACCAAGGCGACGAUCCAUAGCUGGUCUGAGAGGAUGAUCAGCCACACUGGGACUGAGACACGGCCCAGAAUCCUACGGGAGGCAGCAGUGGGGAAUAUUGGACAAUGGGCGAAAGCCUGAUCCAGCAAUGCCGCGUGAGUGAUGAAGGCCGUAGGGUUGUAAAGCUCUUUUACCCGGGAUGAUAAUGACAGUACCGGGAGAAUAAGCUCCGGCUAACUCCGUG